AGGCCGUGAUGGGGACACUUGCGUAAUAGCUCCUUGAACCUUUCCCAUGUUUCAUAUAAGGAUUCCCCAUCCUCUUGUGAGUAUGUAUUAAUUUCAGUCAUUAAUUU
rnacentral:snoRNA from 1 species